rnacentral:rRNA from 1 species
UACGUAGGGUCCGAGCGUUGUCCGGAAUUACUGGGCGUAAAGAGCUCGUAGGUGGUUUGUCGCGUUGUUCGUGAAAACUCACAGCUCAACUGUGGGCGUGCGGGCGAUACGGGCAGACUUGAGUACUGCAGGGGAGACUGGAAUUCCUGGUGUAGCGGUGGAAUGCGCAGAUAUCAGGAAGAACACCGGUGGCGAAGGCGGGUCUCCGGGCAGUAACUGACGCUGAGGAGCGAAAGCGUGGGGAGCGAACAGG